CAAAGCGACCCCAGGUCAGGCGGGGCUACCCGGGGAGUUUAAGCAUAUCAAUAAGC
rnacentral:rRNA from 1 species